GCAGAUUGUCCCAAGUACAGUUUGUAUGCUGUGUUUCCUAAGCAGGACAUUUGGGGGACAUUCCGGCAAUGACUCAUAUCUCAUUCAUUACCUCAAUACAACAUCAAAUGACUUCUAAUAAAACCUAACCUCCUUCCAGUCAUUCAGGACUUCACAUCAAGAUGUAGUAGUCCUUUAGGGAGGAUCGAAACCCCACCUCCAGUAGAAGGAUCAAUGCCCAGAAAUGAAAGAGGUCUUGGAAGCAGAGGAACAAUAGAUCCUGAAAGACAAACCGUGGAUCUUGUAGGGGCUGAAAGAGAUGAGUUUAAUCUUAUUGUGAACACUCAUUCAGGGCAUUAAAAGUAUAG
ensembl:lncRNA